CCUACGGGAGGCAGCAGUGGGGAAUAUUGCACAAUGGGCGAAAGCCUGAUGCAGCAACGCCGCGUGAGCGAUGAAGGCCUUCGGGUCGUAAAGCUCUGUCCGCAAGGAAGAUAAUGACGGUUCCUGAGGAGCAAGCACCGGCUACCUACGUGCCAGCAGCCGCGGUAAUACGUAGGGGGCUAGCGUUAUGCGGAAUUACUGGGGGAAAAGGGUGCGGAGGUGGUUUCUUAAGUCAGAGGGGAAAGGCGACGGCCAAAGCGUAGUAAGCCUUUGAAACUGGGAAACUUGAGUGCAGGAGAGGAGAGUGGAAUUCCUGGUGUAGGGGUGAAAUGCGUAGAUAUUAGGAGGAACACCAGUGGCGAAGGCGGCUCUCUGGACUAUAACUGACGCUGAGGCACGAAAGCGUGGGGAGCAAACAGGAUUAGAUACCCUUGUAGUC
rnacentral:rRNA from 1 species